ACUUCUCUGGCAGAUAAUCUUCAGAUGAGCUUCCACAUCAGGUAAAUCCCAGACGGACUUCUCCAACAAUCAGACUCCUACCAGACUUCACCAACAGAAAGUCUCCAUCCAAGCUUCUACAGCAGAUGACUUCCGUCUGUAGUAUCAGUGCCUAAGGUAUCCGACAACAGUAGACUCGUCAGUAGCUUCGAAAACAUCCAAGCUUCUCCA
rnacentral:lncRNA from 1 species